GGAAACGUUAGUGGGUUUGUUGGACGUGGCCGGUCGCCGUCCGUCCUUGCCGAUGAUUGUGUGUUGUAGUUCUCGCGACGAGCUCGAUGCUGUCUGCUCCGCUGUCUCCAACCUCCAAUACAUCUCUUUGGCCUCCUUGGUAUCGUUAUUUCUGAUCAAUAAUAGCUCUUCUAGCUGAAAUUCGUGAAAUUGUUCUAGAAAUGCCCGGGCCUGAGCCUGAUACAUGCAUUUCUUUUCUGCCACUGAACGAAUAAUUUCAUCUCGA
rnacentral:misc_RNA from 1 species